AACGAACGCUGGCGGCAGGCCUAACACAUGCAAGUCGAGCGAACCCUUCGGGGUUAGCGGCGGACGGGUUAGUAACGCGUGGGAAUAUACCCUUUGGUACGGAAUAGCCUCGGGAAACUGAGAGUAAUACCGUAUGUGCCCUUCGGGGGAAAGAUUUAUCGCCAAAGGAUUAGCCCGCGUUGGAUUAGAUAGUUGGUGGGGUAAUGGCCUACCAAGUCUACGAUCCAUAGCUGGUUUGAGAGGAUGAUCAGCAACACUGGGACUGAGACACGGCCCAGACUCCUACGGGAGGCAGCAGUGGGGAAUCUUAGACAAUGGGCGCAAGCCUGAUCUAGCCAUGCCGCGUGGACGAUGAAGGCCUUAGGGUUGUAAAGUCCUUUCAGAUGGGAAGAUAAUGACGGUACCAUCAGAAGAAGCCCCGGCUAACUCCGUG
rnacentral:rRNA from 1 species